CAGCCGCCGCGGUAAUACGGAGGGUGCAAGCGUUAAUCGGAAUUACUGGGCGUAAAGCGCAUGCAGGCGGUUUGUUAAGCGAGAUGUGAAAGCCCCGGGCUCAACCUGGGAACUGCAUUUCGAACUGGCAAACUAGAGUUCUUGAGAGGGUGGUAGAAUUUCAGGUGUAGCGGUGAAAUGCGUAGAGAUCUGAAGGAAUACCAGUGGCGAAGGCGGCCACCUGGCAAGUAACUGACGCUCAGAUGCGAAAGCGUGGGUAGCAAACGGGAUUAGAUACCCCGGUAGUCCACGCCGUAAACGAUGUCUACUCGGAGUUUGGUUCCUUGCGAACUGGGCUCUUAAGCUAACGCAUUAAGUAGACCGCCUGGGGAGUACGGCCGCAAGGUUAAAACUCAAAUGAAUUGACGGGGGCCCGCACAAGCGGUGGAGCAUGUGGUUUAAUUCGAUGCAACGCGAAGAACCUUACCUACUCUUGACAUCCACAGAAUCUGGUAGAGAUACCUCAGUGCCUUCGGGAACUGUGAGACAGGUGCUGCAUGGCUGUCGUCAGCUCGUGUUGUGAAAUGUUGGGUUAAGUCCCGCAACGAGCGCAACCCUUAUCCUUAUUUGCCAGCACGUAAUGGUGGGAACUCUAAGGAGACUGCCGGUGAUAAACCGGAGGAAGGUGGGGACGACGUCAAGUCAUCAUGGCCCUUACGAGUAGGGCUACACACGUGCUACAAUGGCGCAUACAAAGGGCUGCAAACCAGCGAUGGUAAGCGAAUCCCAUAAAGUGCGUCGUAGUCCGGAUUGGGGUCUGCAACUCGACCCCAUGAAGUCGGAAUCGCUAGUAAUCGUGAAUCAGAAUGUCACGGUGAAUACGUUCCCGGGCCUUGUACACACCGCCCGUCACACCAUGGGAGUGGGCUGCACCAGAAGUCAUUAGCUUAACCUAACGGAGGGAGCUGCCUAAGGCGGGUCUGGUAACUGGGACGAAGUCGUAACAAGGUAACCGUA
rnacentral:rRNA from 1 species